GACGAACGCUGGCGGCGUGCUUAACACAUGCAAGUCGAACGAUGAAGAAGAGCUUGCUCUUCGGAUUAGUGGCGAACGGGUGAGUAACACGUGACUAACCUGCCCCUUUCUCUGGGAUAACGCUCCGAAAGGAGUGCUAAUACCGGAUACUCACAUCGAGGCACAUGCCUUGAUGUGGAAAGUUUUUCGGAAAGGGAUGGAGUCGCGGCCUAUCAGCUUGUUGGUGAGGUAACGGCUCACCAAGGCGACGACGGGUAGCCGGCCUGAGAGGGCGACCGGCCACACUGGGACUGAGACACGGCCCAGACUCCUACGGGAGGCAGCAGUGGGGAAUAUUGCACAAUGGGCGAAAGCCUGAUGCAGCGACGCCGCGUGAGGGAUGAAGGUCUUCGGAUUGUAAACCUCUUUCAGUAGGGACGAAGCGAAAGUGACGGUACCUAAAGAAGAAGCACCGGCCAACUACGUGCCAGCCGCCACCGUAA
rnacentral:rRNA from 1 species